UUUAACUGAGCGUUCAGUUACUUGACGUAGACCCGAAACCGGGCGACCUACCCAUGAGCAGGAUGAAGCGAAAGUAAAAUUUCGUGGAGGUCCGAACCCACGAGCGUUGAAAAGCUCGGGGAUGACUUGUGGGUAGCGGUGAAAUUCCAAUCGAGCCCGGAGAUAGCUGGUUCUCCCCGAAAUAGCUUUAGGGCUAGCCUCAAGGUGAGAGAUACGGAGGUAGAGCACUGAAUGUCCUAGGGGGUAUUGCACCUACCGAAGACUAUCAAACUCCGAAUGCCGUCAUCUUAUACUUGGGAGUCAGACUGUGGGUGAUAAGAUUCAUAGUCGAAAGGGCAACAGCCCAGAUCGUCAGCUAAGGUCCCUAAAUGUAAGUUAAGUGGUAAAGGAUGUGGGAUUGCACAGACAACCAGGAUGUUGGCUUAGAAGCAGCCACUCAUUCAAAGAGUGCGUAAUAGCUCACUGGUCGAGUGAUCCUGCGCCGAAGAUUUCCGGGGCUAAAACUUACUACCGAAGCUACGGCAUCAGUAAUGAUGGGUAGGGGAGCUUCCCAUACGGGUUGAAGCAUGACCGUAAGGACAUGUGGACAGUAUGGGAGUGAGAAUGUUGGCAUGAGUAGCGAGAUGUGGGUGAGAAUCCCACAGGCCGUAAACCCAAGGUUUCCAGGGGAAGGUUCGUCCGCCCUGGGUUAGUCGGGACCUAAGCUGAGGCCGAAAGGCGUAGGUGAUGGACAACAGGUUGAUAUUCCUGUACUACCGAUAACCGUUUGAGAGAAGGGAUGACACAGUAGGAUAAGCUAAGCACACUGUUGGUUAUGUGUGCCCAAGCAUUGAGGCAGUCAAAGUAGGCAAAUCCGCUUUGAUAAUGCUGGGAUGUGAUGGGGAGCGAAAUUUAGUAGCGAAGUAGCUGAUUUCACACUGUCAAGAAAAGUCUCUAUCGAGGUUAAAGGUACCCGUACCGCAAACCGACACAGGUG
rnacentral:rRNA from 1 species